rnacentral:tRNA from 1 species
GGUGACGUGUCCGAGCGGCCGAAGGUGCGACACUCGAAAUGUCGUGUGGGGGCGACUCCACCGUGGGUUCAAAUCCCACCGUCACCG